AGUUAACACCUGGCGAGGAACAUAUGCAGUGGAAAAGGACAGAGGAGAAAUAGAAGGGGAGAGAGAGAAAAAAGAGGAUCUUGUGGACAGAAUUUCCAGCCUUCAGUUCCCACAGGGGGGAAAGUGUACCCGUGGAGAUGAUCCUGGACAGAGUUCUUAUUUCCUUUGUGCUGCCCCUAGGAAUCGUGUUUCCUGUGACUGCAGGGUCAAUAACAUAUGCUGUUGCUGGCAAGCCUGCUACCCUUCUCUGUCUAGGUAGCAAAACAAACAAAAAUAUUAAAGUAACCUGGAAACAUGAAGGAAAUAUUAUACUUCAGUAUAUACAAGGGACACCUUACAAAGGGAAACCUUAC